UACGGAGGGUGCGAGCGUUAAUCGGAAUUACUGGGCGUAAAGCGUGCGCAGGCGGUUCGUUAAGUCUGAUGUGAAAGCCCCGGGCCCAACCUGGGAAUGGCAUUGGAGACUGGCGGGCUGGAGUGUGGCAGAGGGGGGUGGAAUUCCGCGUGUAGCAGUGAAAUGCGUAGAGAUGCGGAGGAACACCGAUGGCGAAGGCAGCCCCCUGGGCUGACACUGACGCUCAGGCACGAAAGCGUGGGGAGCAAAC
rnacentral:rRNA from 1 species